GACAGAGGGUGCAAACGUUGUUCGGAAUUACUGGGCGUAAAGCGCGUGUAGGCGGCCAUGCAAGUCGGAUGUGAAAGCCCUCGGCUCAACCGGGGAAGUGCACUCGAAACUGCAAGGCUAGAGUCUCGGAGAGGAUCGUGGAAUUCUCGGUGUAGAGGUGAAAUUCGUAGAUAUCGAGAGGAACACCGGUGGCGAAGGCGGCGAUCUGGACGAUGACUGACGAUGAGACGCGAAAGCGUGGGAGCAAACAGG
rnacentral:rRNA from 1 species